rnacentral:misc_RNA from 1 species
UUUCCGUAGGUGAACCUGCGGAAGGAUCAUUAUUGAAACUUCAUCCGGGGCGCCGCGGCCCUCAGAACCGGUGGAAACGUCGCGUUGCGGGCGCCGCGCGUACACUCGUCUAAACCAAACCACUGUGCACCUUACGGGAUGGCUUGGGUUAGCGCCCGGUGCCGCUCCCGUUUCUACAAACACUUAUCAAAAAAUGAACUGAAGGCGGCUUGACCCCUGGAUAACCAAACUGCAACAACUUUCAACAACGGAUCUCUUGGCUCUAGCAGCGAUGAAGAA